CAUGAAAGAUAAUCGCUGCAUUCGUUAGAAUGUAGAGGAAAGUCCAUGCUCGCACAGUCUGCGAUGACUGUAGUGUUUGUGUCUGAUGAAACCAUAAGUCAGAGCAUAGAGGCAUCUAUGACGGCAGAUCAAUAUCCUAAGGCUUCGGCUAUGGAUGGCGACUUGAAAGUGCCACAGUGACGGAGUCUAUUGUGAAAACAGUAGAGUGGAACGCGGUAAACCCCAUAAGCGAGAAACCCAAAAUUGGUAGGGGAACUCUAACAUACAAAUUGAAGUAUCACGGAGACGUCUUCGGACGUAGAUAAAUGAUUAUCGUAACAGAACAUGGCUUAAUGAU
rnacentral:RNase_P_RNA from 1 species